rnacentral:misc_RNA from 1 species
UUUCCGUAGGUGAACCUGCGGAAGGAUCAUUAACGUAUCUGCAUCGGGGGGAUGCGAGUGUGGCCCAGCAACGGCGAAUUGCCCUGCAGCGGGCCCCCCUUCCCCUCGAACACUACAAACCCACUGUGCACCUUUCGCGGUGGAGGGUGCGGCGCGAGCCCGCCUGAAGCUGCGGUCUCACAGACUUGUCUCAGAAUGUCUUGCGGACUCGUUCCGCCCAUAAACGUAACAACUUUCAACAACGGAUCUCUUGGCUCUC